CUCCGCUGCCGCUCCCUUCCAUCCCUGCAAACCCUUAACCCUUUUCUGCGCCGCUCCCUUCCUCGUGCAGGGGCCCUUCCAUCGAUGCUUCAUUGCUGGUUUUGAGAGCUGGAAUUUGAUGACGUUUUGAUUCGAAGGAUUCAGCAACUUGAAAAUAUAAAACAUAGACCUGAAUAAUGAAAUUCUAUUUUGCGCAGAACACCAGGCUCGUGACUUUUCUGCCGAUAAUUUCUUCUCUAAACACUAUCUGAGUACAUACUAUUCUUAUCAAAUGGUGUAUGGCACUCAAGAUCUUCAGGAGUUGGUGUUGGAGAUCUAUAUGGAGAUCUUAAGCAGGCUAGAUCUGUACUUCAAAUGGCUGGUGUAUUGAGCCCUGAUGGUUAAGACUUCUGGACUGGUGGAGAAACGGUGUUGAUUGUUGGAGAUAUACUAGAUCAAGAUGAAGAAGAAAUUGCUAUCUUGUCCUUGUUGCGAUCAUUGGAUAAACAGGCAAAGGCAAAAGGUGGAGCUGUGUUUCAGGUCCUUCUUAAAGGCCCAAAGAACUUCAGGAGAGCUGUGAAACACUUGGGUCCUGCUCCUGGUGUUCCUUAUAGCUAUAUCAAGCCUUAUGUACGAUCUAAGGGAAGCAAGUUUGAGAAGGUUAGAGGAAGGAAGAACAGCAAACGACUUGGGGUUUAAGUUGUAUUAUUUCUUUAUUUUUCUUUAGUUUUUAGUUUUGGAAUUUGAACUUGAGAUUUAUUUUGUAUUUGAGUAUUAGUUUUUUAAUGUAUAAUACAAUUAUAGCAAAAAUUAUA